GCCCGACCUCCAACCCACUGUGAACCAAUGUCGUUGCUUCGGGGGCGACCCUGCCGGCACUCUGUCGCCGGGCGCCCCCGGAGGUCUCCUGAACACUGCAUCUCUGCGUCGGAGUUCAAUUAAAUCGAACAAAACUUUCAACAACGGAUCUCUUGGUUCUGGCAUCGAUGAAGAACGCAGCGAAAUGCGAUAAGUAAUGUGAAUUGCAGAAUUCAGUGAAUCAUCGAAUCUUUGAACGCACAUUGCGCCCUUUGGUAUUCCGAAGGGCAUGCCUGUUCGAGCGUCAUU
rnacentral:rRNA from 1 species